rnacentral:misc_RNA from 1 species
CUAAAACAUAAUCUCUCAGAGGUGAUCCUCUCGGAGUCGAGCUCAGGAGAAGGAGUCCCCUUCUUUGAGACUUGGAUGCAGACCUGCAUGUCCGAGGAGGGCAAGAUUUUGAACCCUGACCAUCCCUGCUUCCGCCCUGACUCCACCGAAGUCGAGUCCUUGGUGGCCCUGCUCAACAACUCUUCAGAGAUGAAGCUAGUACAGAUGAAGUAGCACGAGGCCCGCUCAGCAUUUU